rnacentral:rRNA from 1 species
UACAGAGGGUGCGAGCGUUAAUCGGAAUUACUGGGCGUAAAGCGUGCGCAGAUGGUUAUGUAAGUCGGGUGUGAAAGCCCCGGGCUCAACCUGGGAAUUGCAUUCGAGACUGCAUGGCUAGGGUGCGGAAGAGGGAAGCGGAAUUUCCGGUGUAGCGGUGAAAUGCGUAGAUAUCGGAAGGAACACCAGUGGCGAAAGCGGCGAUCUGGGAAGAUACUGGACGCUGAGGAGCGAAAGUGUGGGGAGCGAACAGG